UGCGGAACCCCUUCUAUAACAGAAAUCAAAGCCAUACCAAACCCCAUUAGGAAUAAAGACAUUGUAAUUAAAUGUGGCAGCUUUGGUAUAAUAUCCGUACACAGUCACGCUCUCUGGCUUCCAACCAUCAUAUCCACUCCUGUAGAGGUAAAGAUAGCAAAUCUGGUAUGUGCAAGGACCCUUUAUUUGAAAUGUAUCAGUUGAACAGCUUUCAAAUGUUCUCGAGUAUGGAUCAUCCAGCCUUGGUGCAUACACCUAUUCAAUUCAAACAAUACUCUGUUUUAAGAAAAUGCCCCCCCCCCUUACCAAUUUCAUUGAUUCCACUGAAAAAGCAUUUAGCAGUUGAAAUGUGAUGGUCCAAUAAGGGCAAUUAAAACAUACCUGAUUCCCAUAAGCAUCGCCAAAUGCAAGACUGAUCUGAUCUCUUGUGUAGGUAGUUGAAGAACAGCUUGUCCUUAUUGAUACUGUGUAAGUGCAGCUCCCCACAUUCUAUCAAAGGAACGAUGUAAAACAGUAUGUUUUAGAAGUUAAAUGAAACAACCCAUAAAAACUGACACUAUAUUUGUCUUUUCCCUCAUAAACUUCCUGGAAAUUUCAUGAACAGGGGAAUCUGUAACACUGAAGUUUCCCAGCAAGAUUUGCUCAAACAAACUCUCACCAAAACAAUCUCAUAAUCGAAGAUGUUUUCAAGGCAUGUAUGGAUAUUAAUCACUUGGGAAAUGCUACAUAUUAGUGGAAUGAGUUGGAAAAGAAGCAGAAGGAAGAGAUCAAUCUAAUCGGAGACAUAA
rnacentral:lncRNA from 1 species